GGUCUGACAAGCCUGGGGCUGGCGUGCUCCCAGCUGUCCUCCAGACUGCUGGAAUGAGCGCUUGGGGGGCACGGGCGGCAGCUCUGGGGGCCCCUCUCCGGUGGACUUUCCAACACCUGCCCCCCGACUAUGCUAACCCAGAGCCCUCACAAGCCUAGGCAUCCGACCCGCGGGGCAGUUGGGCACGGAGAUGUCUGGGUGCUCCGGGGCUGGUGCAGCCCAGGACCCAGAGCCUUCUACCCCAGUUCUCCUGGGAUGAGGUGGGUAAAACCCUGUUGUGGUACAACCAUGCUCAACACUGGCUUUGGGUCUGACCCUAACUGGGAGCUUGUCAUCUCCCUGUUCUGUACCAGAGAGAGGCCAGAAGGUGUAGGGAGACUGACGGAGAGAAGAGAAGGAUUUGUUUGCACAUGGCCCAUCUAGUGGUAGAGAUCAAAGCCUGUAAAGAUGGCUCCCAUCCUCUGGGGUGGUAGAAUUUUCUGUCUACAGGUCGCAAACCUCAUCCCCUGUGUGGGGAGGCUGGAGCGGGGGUCACACCACCACCGUUUCAUGGCUGAAAGGCACAGAUCUGCUCACAUUGUAAUCCUGGAGUUUUAGAAUGGAAGAUCUGGGAUCCCCUUGGGUUUUAAGUGCAGAAACAGACCCAGAAAAGGAUGGCUCCAUUCCCCUCCAGGGUCACUCAAGUUAGAUGGGCCUGGAACCACACUUUCCAGACUCUCUGUCAUUAUUCUGUCCCCAAACUUUCAAAGAGUGAUGAGGCAUGACAGAUACCUGUGAAGCGCAGAAAUCUAUGUCGGGUGCUGGGAUGCAAAGAUGGUUGUCCUCACAAGCUUUCCUCACACUCCAGGUCCACGUACAGAAGCUGGAAAAUGAUGGCUGUACCCAAGGCUGCAAAACUUGAUAAGAUGUCCACUUCAUUUCACCUUCCAGGGUUGAGGAAGCUCUGUCUAAAGAAACACACCAAGGUCCAGGGAUAGAUCUACCUUAGAAAGAUCAAAGACAGGAGGGAAGCAAAAGAAGGGGGUCAAUGGGCACACCCCAGACUCCCAGAAAUGCCCAAAGGCCCCAGCCAGAAAUGGGUGUCUGCUGCCCUCUAGUGGAGGAAAGGGCAGCCCCUGGAGCUACCUGCUGGGCCCCUCCAACCUGGCUCCCCUCAAGACAAGGAGAUGCCCAUCUGCCCCUGCCUCCUUGCUUUUCUUUUUCUUUCUUUUUUCUUCUUUUCCUUUCCUUUUAAAAUUUCCUUUACUUUCUCCUCUCUUUCUCCCUCCCUCCCUUUCCGAUGCUGGGCAUGGAACCCAGGGCCUGACCUGUGCUAGCUUUAGUGCUCUACCACUGACCUACCCCCCCCCGCCCACCACUGGCCCCAGAGUCUCCAGCUUCUUCUCUGCAGCCUUGAAAGCUGAACCUUCUCUCUCUUUCAAGC
rnacentral:lncRNA from 1 species